AUCGCUUCUUGGCCUUUUGGCUAAGAUCAAGUGUAGUAUCUGUUCUUAUCAGUUUAAAGUUUCUUGAUCAGAAAUGCAUCUCUUUCAGUUUCCUUGGCCAUCACUUAAACUGAUGGACCCUAUUAUAAUGGAGUGAGGGAAGACCCAAC
rnacentral:snRNA from 1 species